rnacentral:rRNA from 1 species
UCUACCUUAAGUUGGAGGAUAACCCCCGAGAAAUACGGGCCUAAGAGCCGCAGGAUGAGCGGCGCCGCAUGGUGAAGUUGUUAAAGUCUAUAUGGCGACGGGAAGAGGACUCGCGUCUGAUUAGCUAGUUGGUAGGGUAAAGGCCUACCAAGGCACGAUCAGUAGCUGGUGUGAGAGGAUGAUCAGCCACAAUGAAACCGAGACCGGUCCAGACUCCUACGGGAGGCAGCAGUGAGGAAUAUUGGGCAAUGCCGCAAGGGUGACCCAGCAACCCCGCGUGGAGGAUGAAGGCCGUAAGGUCGAAACUCCUGUGAGAGGGGAAGAACACUCCCGAUCAAAUCGGGAAUUGACGUACCGCUCAAAGCAAGCCCCGCCUACCUACGUGCCAGCAGCCGCGGUA